rnacentral:tRNA from 14 species
GCGGUUCGUCAGGGCGGGCUUCAAAGGCUUGCUGCCUGGUGUGUUCAACUCCAC